rnacentral:rRNA from 1 species
GAUGAACGCUGACAGAAUGCUUAACACAUGCAAGUCAACUGUGGCGGACGGGUGAGUAACGCGUAAAGAACUUGCCUCACAGUUAGGGACAACAUUUGGAAACGAAUGCUAAUACCUGAUACUGUGAGAGAGCUUUGCGUCCCAUUAGCUAGUUGGAGGGGUAACGGCCCACCAAGGCGAUGAUCAGUAGCCGGUCUGAGAGGAUGAACGGCCACAUUGGGACUGAGACACGGCCCAGACUCCUACGGGAGGCAGCAGUGGGGAAUAUUGGACAAUGGACCAGAGUCUGAUCCAGCAAUUCUGUGUGCACGAUGAAGUUUUCGGAAUGUAAAGUGCUUUCAGUUGGGAAGCAGUACCAACAGAAGAAGUGACGGCUAAAUACGUGCCAGCAGCCGCGGUAAUAC